ACUUGCUGUGGGCAAAUCCAAUGAAUAUGUGUAUCUACACCACCUGCAGUUAAAAUUUGACCUUCACCUGCAAUAACCUCAGUUGCCGCGCCUAAAGGAAUCGUAAUUCCUGGUUGAAUAUCUGGAUUUCCUGCUUUACCGAUUUUCCAAAUUCGACCAUUUUUAAGCCCUACAUCUGCUUUAACAAUCCCCCACCAAUCCACAAUUAACGCAUUCGUAAUCACGGUAUCUGCCACUUCGGCACUUAACUGUUGUGAUUGCCCCAUGCCAUCAC
rnacentral:sRNA from 1 species